UAACUUUCCCUCUACCUCUUCGCAUGGCAGUCACUAUUCCACUGCAGCCUGGCUAUUUGUGCUCUCCUCACCCAUUACAACCUUGUAGCUGUCCUCCAAAGAACAGUGCCCUUAGUAACUGUCUCUUCUGUUUUGAUCUAGACCUGGCUCCAGUGGCAGGAGAUAUAUCAACACAAUAUCAAGAUGUUCUGAAGGUCUCUUUAGAUGACAUUUUACUGCAUUGACUCCAUUCUUUUGUUUUUAUCUGUAUCAGAGAAAUUACAACGGAAACGAGAAAUGUUAUGAACCAGAUGCUGAAAAAGUCCCAGUGGCAAGAAUCAGAAGAGGGCACAAAGGU
rnacentral:lncRNA from 1 species